UCAGAGUGACAUCACCCAGCUGGAAGCCCCAGCCUUUGUCCCGCCCCAUUCAGCGGCUCCAGGGCAUCAUCACACCAAGUGCAAACCCUCCUGAGGAGUGAGGUCCCAGGGCUCUGUGCACAAAGGAUGGUGACUCCAUCACUUCCCUGGACAGCCUGUUCUUCAGUGCUUGAUAACCAUUCUGAGGAAGAAAUUCUUCCUGGUAUCCAGCUUAAACCUUUCCUGGUGCAACUUGA